rnacentral:lncRNA from 1 species
CUGAGUAUAAGUAUCAUCGUCCUCCUCUUCCAACCUUUUUUCCAUAUCAUACAAGUCUUUAGGUUUCGUCUUAAUAACAAGAGACCAAUUUUUAUCUUUUGAGUCUUGCACAAAAAAUACUUGUCGAGCUUGAGAUGAAAAAAUAAAUGGAUCAUCUUUCAAUAACACACCAGUAUGUAUCAACCUUGAAAAAUUUACAAGUGUGAAUCCAUUUAUGUCUUGCCUCAAAUCUCUAGGUGAGUUUAUAUCCACCCAAUCA